rnacentral:ncRNA from 1 species
AUAUAUCCGAGGAAUGGAUAAGUACAAUAGCAGAACCUUUUCAGAGAGCCGGGAAAGAUGGUGCAAGCCGGUAAGGGACUCCAUUGGAAAAUGGUCCGGGAGGAUUCGCUUUCGAGCUUCAGCGGCAGCGCUGGGUAAGGGAGCGACGCGAAGCUGGCGUUAACGGCGCAAGCCGCCAUACAGGCGGCACACGAAGCUUUCUUGAAGUGACGGUUUAACCGCUCAUUUCCGGAUUGAAAUUUGGGUGGUACCGCGUGAGUUCAAACUCUCGUCCCAUGA